rnacentral:rRNA from 1 species
UGCCAGCCGCCGCGGUAAUACGGAGGGUGCAAGCGUUGUUCGGAAUUAUUGGGCGUAAAGCGCGUGUAGGCGGUUCGUUAAGUCUGAUGUGAAAGCCCGGGGCUCAACCCCGGAAGUGCCCUUGAUACUGGUAGUCUUGAGGUCGAGAGAGGUGAGUGGAAUUCCGAGUGUAGAGGUGAAAUUCGUAGAUAUUCGGAGGAACACCAGUGGCGAAGGCGGCUCACUGGCUCGAUACUGACGCUGAGGUGCGAAAGCGUGGGGAGCAAACAGGAUUAGAUA